GAACCAGUUUUGUCAGACUUGGGAGUGAGUGUUCUCUGACAAAGGAGGAGACUAGCCAGGAAAGGGCCAGUGAGGAGGCUUGCUGAGCACUAGGAAAUGAAGACAGUGAAAUUUGGGUUACAGGAGUUAACCAGACUCUUGUGACUUAAUAGGAGGCUUGGAAAAUGGAGGCAGUAGAUGGUCCUGAAGCUGGACCAGGUUUUGUUGCUUCUUUUUAACAUAGGAGUGAUUAGUUACAUUUGUGAUUGGGACUGUUCCAUUGUUAUAAUGGGCAUGAGGGCUCAUCUGUCAAGUAGCCAUUUGUGGUAUGGCAGACCUGUUAAAAGUUGAUGGGUAUCUGAAGCACUCUUCACUCAAACGAAAUGAAGGAGCAAUUAAAUGCCUCUGUAUAGUGGUACUGAAAUUGUAGAAGCCACUGCCCAACACAUGGCUCGGCCUCACCUAAGUUAAGCCAUUUUGCCCCUUGGGUUUCCUUGGAGACUGACUGAAAAUACAGGAUUGGGGCAUCAGUUGGCUGCAGCUGUGUGUCUGUGGGUGAAAGGAGCCAGAAAGCAGACAGUGAGUGAAGCACCAGUGUGUGGCCCUGCAGGAAGCCAAGAGACGCAACUUCUUCUGGAAGAAGUACUCGCUGAAAAGCCAGGCUUGGAUUUCUGGACAAAAUCUGCCACCUGUUUGUUCUUUCUGUAUUCAGGGAAACAGGACUUUGUGUAGCUACUUUUAAAAAACAUGUUUUGCACCAAAGAAAUACCUGACUUUUAUAAUCGAUAUCUACUCCAAAGAAAGCAACCUGGCAAGAACUUGAAUGCUGGCUAGCUGCAUUGGCCAAAGGGCAGCAAUAUUCUAUUAUCUAUCUAGAUCCUGAAGGGUUUUAAUUGGUUUGAAAUAGCUAGAGACAUCUUGCGCGGUGGG